UACGUAGGGCGCAAGCGUUGUCCGGAAUUAUUGGGCGUAAAGAGCUCGUAGGCGGCUUGUCGCGUCGACUGUGAAAUCCCGCGGCUCAACUGCGGGUCUGCAGUCGAUACGGGCAGGCUAGAGUUCGGUAGGGGAGACUGGAAUUCCUGGUGUAGCGGUGAAAUGCGCAGAUAUCAGGAGGAACACCGGUGGCGAAGGCGGGUCUCUGGGCCGAUGACUGACGCUGAGGAGCGAAAGCGUGGGGAGCGAACAGG
rnacentral:rRNA from 1 species